rnacentral:ribozyme from 15 species
AAAAAUAUAUGCAUGUAAUUAUAUAGAGAAGUUAUAUCAAACAUAUAGAAGACGGAAAAAUAGGUCAAGCAACUACGCGUACUAUCCUCUUCUAU